AUAUGCAACCGUACCACCCUGAGAAUGCCCCAUCUCAUGUGAUCUGGGAAGCUAAGCAGGGUCGGGCCCGGUCAGCACUUGGAUGGGAGACCAACCAUGGAGAUGCUGGAGGGAGCGGAGC
rnacentral:rRNA from 1 species